AAGAGCAAGACAAUAAGGAAAAAUAACUUGAUAUUGAAUUUGAAAUAGAGGGAUUAUUAGUUAAUAGUUAUAAUGUGACCAGGAGGUCACGGGUUCGAGUGGUGGAAACAGCCUCUUGCAGAGAUGUAGGGUAAGGCUACGUACAAUAGACUCUUGUGUUCCGGCCCUUCCCCGGACCCUGCGCAUAGCGAGAUCUUAAUGCACGGGGCUGCACUUAUUUUUUUGUUAUAAUGUU
rnacentral:lncRNA from 1 species